rnacentral:rRNA from 1 species
GAUGAACGCUGACAGAAUGCUUAACACAUGCAAGUCUUUGGCGAAGCUGUGCUUGCACAGCCUAGCCAAGGCGGACGGGUGAGUAACGCGUAAGGAACUUGCCCUGCAGUCAGGGAUAACAGACGGAAACGACUGAUAAGACCUGGUAAAGUCAGGCGGACUCAUGUCCAGCCUGAUGAAAAGAGAUGCUGCAGGAGAGCCUUGCGUCCUAUUAGCUUGUUGGUGGGGUAACGGCCCACCAAGGCGAUGAUAGGUAGCCGGCCUGAGAGGGUGGACGGCCACAAGGGGACUGAGAUACGGCCCUUACUCCUACGGGAGGCAGCAGUGGGGAAUAUUGGACAAUGGGGGCAACCCUGAUCCAGCAAUUCUGUGUGCACGAUGAAGGUUUUCGGAUUGUAAAGUGCUUUCAGCAGGGAAGAAAAAAAUGACGGUACCUGCAGAAGAAGCGACGGCGAAAUACGU